GCACCUCAUAAAACGGGGGCCGGGCGUGGAAACCCGAACGUUACUGGAGCGCAUAGCCGCGCUGAAGCGGUUUUUUU
rfam:Shigella flexneri 2a str. 2457T, complete genome.